rnacentral:tRNA from 1 species
UCCCUGGUGGCUCAGAUGGUAAAGCAUCUGCCUGCAAUGCAGAAGACCUGGGUUCGUCCCUGGGUCGGGAA